CCUACGGGAGGCUGCAGUCGAGAAUAUUCGACAAUGGGCGAAAGCCUGAUCGAGCGACACCGCGUGCAGGAUGAAGGCCUUCGGGUCGUAAACUGCAGUAACCCCGCAGUAAUGCAAAUGAACGCGGGGCGAGAAGAGGUGGGUAACUACGUGCCAGCACCAGCGGUAAUACGUAGACCUCAAGCGUUAUCCGGAUUUAUUGGGCGUAAAGCGUAUGUAGGAGGUUUUGCGCGUCCUUGGUUAAAGCCCACCGCUCAACGGUGGAAAUGCCCGGGAUACGGCAGAACUAGAGGGAGUUAGAGGUACAUGGAACCCACGGUGUAGGGGUGAAAUCCGUUGAUAUCGUGGGGAACACCAAAGGCGAAGGCAGUGUACUGGGACUUUCCUGACUCUGAGAUACGAAAGCGUGGGGAGCAAACAGGAUUAGAUACCCCAGUAGUC
rnacentral:rRNA from 1 species